CUUUUCCGUUCUGUAUUCACAGAACCGAAGCCGAGAGGAGAGGAGAAAAAGAAAGGAGAAGAAGAAGAACGUCGCCCGGCCGUGCUUUCCUUUUGUUCCGCCGCCGUCCGUCGCCGACCGCCUCGCCGUUGUUCCUCGUCGCCGUCUGCCACUUUAGCCAUUAUUAUGUCAUAUCGACCAUCAAAUUUUAUGGAGACGGACGAUAUGUUCCUCCAGUUUGAGGACGAUUUAGAUAAUAACAUCGCAGGAGGGUCAUCAUCUGUGGGCGACAAUACGGAGUCUUCUUCUCAACAAACGACUCCGACUCCUAGGAGACGUGCGCAGUCUCGACUCUUGGAGUUAGAGCGCCACGUUGCAAUAAAUGGGCGCAUUCCGAUGACGAUCGCCCCUGGAGCGUUUAGAU